rnacentral:rRNA from 1 species
UACGUAGGGGGCAAGCGUUGUCCGGAUUUAUUGGGCGUAAAGAGCGUGUAGGCGGCCAGGUAGGUCUGCUGUGAAAACUCGAGGCUUAACCUCGAGCUGUCGGCGGAAACCAUCUGGCUAGAGUCCGGAAGAGGAGAAUGGAAUUCCCGGUGUAGCGGUGAAAAUGCGCAGAUAUCAGGAGGAACACCGAUGGCGAAGGCAGGUCUCUGGGCAUUAACUGACGCUGAGGAGCGAAAAGCAUGGGGGAGCGAACAGGA